UACGGAGGGUGCAAGCGUUAUUCGGAAUUACUGGGCGUAAAGCGCACGCAGGCGGUUAUUUAAGUCAGAUGUGAAAGCCCCGAGCUUAACUUUGGAAUUGCAUUUGAAACUGGUUGGCUAGAGUCCUGUAGAGGGGAGUGGAAUUCCAUGUGUAGCGGUGAAAUGCGUAGAGAUGUGGAGGAAUACCGGUGGCGAAGGCGGCUCCCUGGACAGAGACUGACGCUGAGGUGCGAAAGCGUGGGGAGCAAACAGG
rnacentral:rRNA from 1 species